rnacentral:rRNA from 1 species
AGACGUCUACCAUUAGAUACCCCGGGUAGUCCCAGCCGUAAACUAUGCGCGUUAGGUGUAUCGGUGACCACGAGUCACCGAGGUGCCGAAGGGAAACCGUGAAACGUGCCGCCUGGGAAGUACGGUCGCAAGGCUGAAACUUAAAGGAAUUGGCGGGGAGCACCACAACGGGUGGAGCCUGCGGUUUAAUUGGACUCAACGCCGGGAAGCUCACCGGAUAAGACAGCGGAAUGAUUGCCGGGCUGAAGACUCUGCAUGACUAGCUG